rnacentral:lncRNA from 1 species
UUAAGACCUUAUAAAGCUGCAGAGAUCAGAAGCAAAAUUUUUAGAAGCAGAUGAUUAAGUAACCAACCCUAACCCUAAUGCAGACAGAGAAGAAAAAACACAAAACCUGAGGAGCUUCAGGCUGGAGAGAAGGAAAACAGGGGCCAGAAGAGCCGUGUGGUGAGGUCACCGAGAUUAAGGAAAGAGAAGUCUUACAGGAAGUAAUCAGCUGUGAUGUGUGACAGAGAGGAGUUAGCAGCAGAUCCUUGGUGACUUCAGUGAGAGGUGUGUCAGGAUCUAGUUGGUGCAGAAGCAGAAGUAGGUUCCCGGAGUAUAAGCAGUGAGUGAAUGGGCAGUGAGAAUACAGCCAAUGAAGCCGGAUCCUUUAUCACAGGCUCAGGAGACAGCCCGCGGCUUAGAGACAGACUGCUUUGAGGACAUUGGAACCGCCGAGGUGCUGAGUAACCCUACUGAGAAAGAAAAAAGAGGAGGCGCUUCCGGAGUUAAAAUAAGACAGAAUGCAUCAUUGGAGAACACAGUGGCUGAAGACUGGCAGGAUUCUCAACAGCUCAGGCUACCACAUACUGUUCAGUUUCCGUUUGUACUUUGGAGGGUCUUUAGAAACCCCUGAAAAAAAAAUAGAGGUACAGUACCUUUUUAGCCAGUCAAUACAAAGGAAACCCUGUUGGUGUAGGAACUGUUCUGAUGUUCAUUACUUAAAAAUUGCUCGUUCCCCUUUUUCAGUAUGGAGGGGGAGGUGUUAGUGAUGAGUCUUAAUUUCUUGUAUCCCUAUCCACCCUCUAAAAGCUUUUGAAUUAUUUUGAGCGCUCAUAACAUUUGAGGAGAGUUUGUAGUGUUUUGUGUAUGUUCUGUACAAUGCCUGGCAUUCUGGGAGAAAUUGAUAAGCAGUAAAUAAUAAACACAUCUCAUUCGCCAGUGGACCAGAAAGAUCGCUGUCAUUCUUUUAGCAAAGAGCAAACUAAUAGGCAGGAAUUCUGGCCAGCCUCUCCUUUCCGUUACAGCUUC